rfam:Anopheles darlingi Cont6468, whole genome shotgun sequence.
GGCCAGCAUCAAUUCCGUAGUGCAUUGCAGUGUAGACCAUUGGACGUAACUGCAAGCAUUGUGGGAGUGAAGCCGUUCGA